UUAAUUGAAGCCAAAAAAAGAGGCAUAUCACUGUUAAUGAUAUAAUUGAGGAUCACCUCCAAUUAAG
rnacentral:tRNA from 1 species